UUGGAUCCUCACAGAGCAAGAUGGUGACAAGAGCCAUCAUACCCAUGUGACAAGUAGAAGGAUGAGUAGAAAAGCAAAAAAGAGAUAGCCAAAUGUGUGUUCAGAAAACUGUGUGUGGGAACAGGGAGGUGAUUGGCUUUGUGAGAUGCUUGUGCUCAAUUCCCAGAACCCCUUAGAAAAGAAAAGAGAAGACAAAAAAAAGGCUGGGCAUAAUGGCUUAGUGGAGAGAGAUCCCUGGGACUCCCUGAGUAGCUAGCCUAGCUGAACUGGGUGGGGCCCAGGUCCUAAAAAAAAAAAAAAAAAAAAAAAAAAAAAAAAAAAAAAAAAAAAAAAAAAGGAAGGUGGAAGGCUCCUGAAGAAGAUGCCCUGGGUGACCUCUGAUCUCCACAUUCAUCACACAUGCAUGCACCCACUCACACAGGAACAGGCAAACAUGCACACACACACACACACACACACACACACACACAGAGUCACACACAAGGCUGAGCACUAGAAUUGCAGCUAAGACUACAAACAUCUGCUCACUAACCAGCAAAGCCAAGGCUUUCAUAGCCUCAGGGCAGCCGAGGCUAGGAUUGCUGUCCUCUUAGCUCCCCACCUUAGUUUUUCCGGCUAUAAAUGGUAGCUGUCAGGGCUGCCUGGGAGAUUUUAAGCAGGAGUGAAUGCUAACUUCACUGAGGAGUGACAUUGUCUCCUGAUUAUCUGAUUUAAGUGAUCCUAGAACUAUUACUCCCAGCCACAGACCAGGGCAGAGGUCUUGUUGCCAGUCCUCAUGUUGCACAGUCUUCCAAGGCUGCAGGGCCCCAAGGACCCAAGGCAGUUCAGCCUGGCUUCCGGUCACAAGACCUGCCCUCAACCUGGGAGGUGGCUCUGGGCUUAGUGGGGCCACAAGGGUGGCUUUGUGCCUAUCUGAUUUUCAUUUCCCCAGAAAAAACACGCGGCGGGGGCCAUGACCUCAUAGCAUAGAAAAUACCUCAACUCCUGGCCCCUGUAUGGGGUUCUCCAAUGAGAUGGGCAGCCAAUUGUCCCAAUACUAAAUGUGGAGAAAUCCUGUUUCAAAUGCCAACUGGAUCAUAUGAUUGUGAGAGAUAAAGAGAAGAUCCCAGAAGCCUUGAGAAACCAAAAAAGUCAUGCAACAGAGGAUCAAGACUUGGGAUGGCACUGGGCUACUUCUCAUCAACCCAGAAUGCCACAUGCCAAUAAGAACUGCCUUCAGAAUGUGGAGUGGAGAUGAUUUCCAAACGAGAUUUAUACAGCCAGCCAAACUGUCAAUCAAGGAUCCAAAAACUGAACUUCCCAUAUGCAGUUUUCAAGGAAGCUACUGGCAUGUAUAUUAUAACUAAAAGAAGACAGUAAACCAAGCAGGAGGGUGGCUUCGGAUCCAAGCACCAAAGAAGAAGUGUGGAAGAGAGGUUAAGGGGUUUCCUGGGAUAAUGGUGGAGGGAAAUUUCAGAAUAUCUACCAUGCAGACAUCUAGGAGGGUGUUUGGUUUGGGUCAGGGCAAGAGGACAAAGGGUGUUAAGAAAAAAAAAUAGAAGUGAUAGGUUACCAAAAGAAUCUGAUUGCAUUACUAGAGAUUUUAAAACUGUGUACAUGUUUGUGGGAAGAAUUAGUAGUGUGGCUUUAAAAUGUAAGUAAAAAACAGAGACAAUUACCAACACCAGGGAAAACAAAAAGCUGCACAGUUCAGCAACUACACCUGUAACCCCUCAUACAAUGGUUAAUAUUUAUGUUAUCGACUUGACAAGGUCUGUAAUUGCCCAGGACAUAAGCCUCUGUGCACACCUGUGAAAUGUUAUCUACAUUAACUUCUGGGCAUGUUAUAAGGGAUUUUCUUGGUUAGGCUAGUUGAGGUGGGAAAAUCUGGCCUAAAUGUGGGUGGUACCAUUCCCUGGGCUGAGAUCCUGGACUUUAGACCCGGAGAAAGGGAGUUGAACACCAAGCAUUCAUUUCUUUGCUUCCUGACUGUGGGUGACCACCUCACUGUGGUGGUGAUACCCUUGAACUGUGAGUCAAGACAAACCUUCCUCCCUUAAGUUGCUUUGGUCACUAGGAAAGGAAACCAAGAGACUUUGUUUAGCUGUCAGUAACGUGUAGGUGAUCAGGUAGCAGUGGACUCUGAGUUAGCAUCUGCAGUGGGUUACGUAGGGAGGGGAAGUGUGUGUCUCUGUGUGGUGGCUUCUGUGGAACUAGCAGUCUUCCAUAAGAGGAGGCCAACAAAUUGUAUGCGAAAUCAGAAAAAGAUGGCAUUUAGAAAUAUGAAAGGAAAUGUCAGAGGAACGAUGAGAGGACUUGAAGUCAUCUCCUCCAAGGAGAGGUGGGGCUGUUGCUUUUCAUUAUUGGUUUCAUGCAACGAUUUGACUUUUACAGUCUCAUAACAAACUAUUGAUCAAAAUGGAAAUUUAAUUUAAAAAUGCCCGUGUAUUUAUGACCUAACUCAGCUUUUGAACCUCUCCUGCUGCUCAGGAAAUGAGCUGACCAGAAUUUUGAAGAUCAAGGGUACAGUCUCUCAGCUCUGUAAAUUGCUAGCUGUGUGGCCCCAAGGCCAGUUGCUCAGUCUCUCAGAGUCUCCAUUUAUUCAACUGAGAAGCAGGGGUAAUUCCAGUAUCUUCUUCAUAGGGCAACUCAAAAGAUGACAUAAGCUCAUGCCUGGACCUGAUACUCAGGAUUGUACACUAAAGGAUGCCUGUUGGUGUCAUCUUUCUGG
rnacentral:lncRNA from 1 species